GCCAAGCAGUGAUGAUGAAGACUUUUAGUCACUUCGCUGAAAAUAGAUGAUGGCUUUUAAGUCACUACCUCAUCUGAGCUUGCA
rnacentral:snoRNA from 1 species